rnacentral:rRNA from 1 species
AGUGAACGCUGGCGGUAGGCCUAACACAUGCAAGUCGAACGGCAGCACAGUAAGAGCUUGCUCUUACGGGUGGCGAGUGGCGGACGGGUGAGGAAUACAUCGGAAUCUACUUUUUCGUGGGGGAUAACGUAGGGAAACUUACGCUAAUACCGCAUACGACCUACGGGUGAAAGCAGGGGAUCUUCGGACCUUGCGCGAUUGAAUGAGCCGAUGUCGGAUUAGCUAGUUGGCGGGGUAAAGGCCCACCAAGGCGACGAUCCGUAGCUGGUCUGAGAGGAUGAUCAGCCACACUGGAACUGAGACACGGUCCAGACUCCUAAGGGAGGCAGCAGUGGGGAAUAUUGGACAAUGGGCGCAAGCCUGAUCCAGCCAUACCGCGUGGGUGAAGAAGGCCUUCGGGUUGUAAAGCCCUUUUGUUGGGAAAGAAAAGCAGCAGGUUAAUACCCCGCUGUUCUGACGGUACCCAAAGAAUAAGCGCCGGCUAACUUCGUG